rnacentral:rRNA from 1 species
GUAGGGAAUAUUGCGCAAUGGGGGAAACCCUGACGCAGCGACGCCGCGUGAGUGAUGAAGGCCUUCGGGUCGUAAAGCUCUGUUGCAGGGGAAUAAAAAAAUGAAGGUACCCUGUGAGGAAGGAUCGGCUAACUUCGUGCCAGCAGCCGCGGUAAGACGAGGGAUCCUAGCGUUGCUCGGAAUCAUUGGGCGUAAAGAGGGCGUAGGUGGCUUGGUAGGUCAGGUGUGAAAGCCCAGGGCUCAACCCUGGAAGUGCAUUUGAUACUGCUGAGCUUGAGUGUCGGAGAGGUUACCGGAAUACCUGGUGUAGUGGUGAAAUACGUAGAUAUCAGGUGGAACACCGGAGGCGAAGGCGGGUAACUGGACGAACACUGACACUGAGGCCCGAAAGCGUGGGGAUCAAACAGGAUUAGAAACCCUGGUAGUCC